rnacentral:rRNA from 1 species
GAUGAACGCUGGCGGCGUGCCUAAUACAUGCAAGUCGAGCGAACAGAUGAGGAGCUUGCUCCUCUGACGUUAGCGGCGGACGGGUGAGUAACACGUGGAUAACCUACCUAUAAGACUGGGAUAACUUCGGGAAACCGGAGCUAAUACCGGAUAAUAUAUUGAACCGCAUGGUUCAAUAGUGAAAGACGGUUUUGCUGUCACUUAUAGAUGGAUCCGCGCCGCAUUAGCUAGUUGGUAAGCUAACGGCUUACCAAGGCAACGAUGCGUAGCCGACCUCAGGGGGCGAUCAGCCAUCUGGGAACUGAGGCACGGUCCAGACUCCUGAGAAAGGGAAGAGAAGGCAAUCGUCCGCAUUGGACGAAAACCUGACGGAGCAAGCCCACGUGAGUGAUGAAGAUCUUCGGAUCGUAAAACUCUGUUAUUAGGAAAGAAAAAAUGUGUAAGUAGCUAUGCACGUAUUGACGGUACCUAAUCAGAGAGCCACGGCUAACUACGUG